UGGCCAAUCGCCUAUGUUUGAUGACGAUUGCUUAAAGGCACCUUUGAAGGCAGGCGCAUAACAUAACGCGUCAUUACCACAGGAACAAAAAAGACAUGGUCCAGAGGAGCAGCAAGCAAGAACAGAGCAUCGUCUAUUGCAAAACAGAAGAAGAAUUAACCUAUAAAAAGUUUUCUUAGAAAACGACGAAUCGUCAAAAACUUCACCAGACAUAGCAGUACGUUAUGUAAAACAUAUCGUUGUAGAUAAUCUAUUUUCAUUUAAAUACAAGAUAUUAUCAAAGUACAUUUUCGUAAAAAAGAGAACCCGAAGGCUUUUCCGCAAACUUCUAAAACGCAAAUUGAUAUAAGGUAUGCGCAAUUCAACAAACACCUUGGGCGUUUCGUCAACCUUAAAUUAUUUCUGUACCUAAUAACCGACAGCCGCUUGUCCAUAAUAAGGUGUAUAUACAAAUAUUACAUCAAAUCACGUAAAGAACGUAAACGCCGUCUUGUGGCAGUGCUUGCGCUUAGCUUCGUAAUUGAAGUCCGUGUGAGCUAUUGGCAUUACGAAUUUUCUGCAGCAAAAAAGGAGAAGAGACAAGGUCGAGAUUUAGACCCAUACCUACAGCUGAGGCAACACCAGUAGAGGGAUUUGCUGCUUCCACAAACCGAUGACCUUUUAGAAGUUCGAGAAAGUAGUUCCUGCAUGAACGCACUCCCUCAGGCAUCACACAGGGUAACGUGCCUCGCUUUGGGCGCGGAUCUUAUAUCCAGCGUCAGCUGGAUAUAAGAUCCGCGCCCACAGGCUUAGGCCUAAAACUACGUUAAGACCGCUUCAAACGAAUACUACGGGAGACUAUUUUUCAAGAAAGGCAAAGCGACCCUUUAGUCUUUGUCUAUUCUUUCUGAUGAUAUUAUACUACACGGCCAGUGUGCUUAAAUAAACUACUCUUUUUGAUCAGCAGGCUCAUUAAACUGAACAAUUGCUGACCGUUUUGUUGUCUAAAGUAGAGCUUUUCUGGGUUGUCCUGAUUGGAAUUGAGGAUCCCUUGAAGCCGAGUAAAGCAAUUAGUUUGAAACUGGCUGUAGAUUGAACGAGUAAGGACUGAUAAGUGCCAUAAUAUUAAUACUGGUGCUAAUGAUCUUAUUUCCGAUCGCACAAAAAGAAACACAAUUAAGCUAGCCGAUAUUGGGCCGCAAGAGGCCACCGGCUCAGUGUCACACUGGCAGGCCUUUGCUCAAUAAGGUUAGGUCUCUAAAAUAUACAUUCAGGAAACAUCUAUCACAGCUUUGUUUAUCGAUAUUCAAAUAACAGCAAUCUAUGAAACAAUCCCAUCAAAUAAAGCAUGUACCAUUCUAUGCUACCACUUCUAAAAUGCUCCUGCACGGAAACAAUGCGUUAAAUUAGUUCUCAAUUAAUUCAAAUCAAUGAUAACUAUCUGCCGAGUCUCAAAUGCUUUGCUUUAAGUGUUACAUCCGAAAUUAUAUCCAUUGGUAGGCAAUCGUUACUAAAUAAAUUGUGUUUCUUCGCGA